rnacentral:rRNA from 1 species
GACGAACGCUGGCGGCGUGCUUAACACAUGCAAGUCGAACGGAAAGGCCCUGCUUUUGUGGGGUGCUCGAGUGGCGAACGGGUGAGUAACACGUGAGUAACCUGCCCUUGACUUUGGGAUAACUUCAGGAAACUGGGGCUAAUACCGGAUAGGAGCUCCUGCUGCAUGGUGGGGGUUGGAAAGUUUCGGCGGUUGGGGAUGGACUCGCGGCUUAUCAGCUUGUUGGUGGGGUAGUGGCUUACCAAGGCUUUGACGGGUAGCCGGCCUGAGAGGGUGACCGGCCACAUUGGGACUGAGAUACUGCCCGGACUCCUACGGGAGGCAGCAGUGGGGAAUAUUGCACAAUGGGCGGAAGCCUGAUGCAGCAACGCCGCGUGCGGGAUGACGGCCUUCGGGUUGUAAACCGCUUUCGCCUGUGACGAAGCGUGAGUGACGGUAAUGGGUAAAGAAGCACCGGCUAACUACGUGCCAGCCGCCGCGGUAA